rnacentral:snRNA from 1 species
UCCCAAUGAUGACUUAUUA